AUGGGCAUGACCCAAUAGAAAAUAAGUGGGCAUGGCCUAAUAUGAAAUAAAAAUAAAUGGACUUGGCCCAAGUAGGAAAAAUGGAGAAGCCCAUGGAGAGGGCCCAAAAGUCAUAAAGAAAUGAAAAGGCCCAAUGUUAUCGUGGAGGCUUGCCGAACGAAGUAUGUGACCGACAAAUAGGAAUAAUUAUACGCGUACGAAUCAAUAGUGAAGUAAUAUCCCACUAUUAUGAGGUGAGUAGGGGGUGUCAACUUUAAAAAUUUCGUAUAUAUAUAUACAUGUACGUAUAUUUUACGUGAAGUGCAAAAUUUAUGGAAAGCAUGCGUUGAUAGAAUUUUAA
rnacentral:sRNA from 1 species